GACUUUUUUCAGAAAAUGAUUUAAAACACAACCCGCCGUCCGCCGGCGGCAGCGGUGGAGCAAUACUCGUCAUUUAUCAUCACAAUUUAAACACCUUCGCACUAUCCACACAUCCCUUUCAGUUCUGGAGUUUGGUUCUUCCACUUUCAAUCAUCAAAAUUUGCUCAUCCUUUCUUCCUGGUAAGUGCUACCUAAUCAACCACAAUUUUCUAUUCCAUUUCUUAACACUACCUGUCCAUAAUUUUUUGCUCUAUUUAAAUUCAAACCUUUUUUUCCUAAUGAAUUUGUGAACCACGAACGUCCAAUGAAUUAGCCAGUUGAAUUAGGUCAACCGCAUUAGGUGGUGACCAUUGAUAUUCGAAGCGUGCGAGCUUGACAAUGGAGAUUGUGAACGUAGCCAUGGUGUUUCAGAUAAUUUUCUAUAUUUGAGAUGUUGCCUGUGCAUUUGUUAUUUAAUGUGGAUUUCGAGUCAAAUGAUAAACCAAUUGCAUCAAUGUGGGAAUUUGACUGAGCUCUGACUGGCUUCUUCUUGUUUAUUGUCUCCCUUCUUUUGCUCAGUGGAUUCUAGAAAAGCCCGAGAGCAUUAAAUUAUUACAUUGAGAUUUCUACCUAAUAUACAUAUUUUUAAUCGAACAUUGAUCAGAGCUAUGAACAGCGCCUUAUCAAUUCACUUUUCAUCGUUUAUUGUUAACCCGUGCUCGGUACUUUUUUUUCCCCCCUUUUGAUGGGGAAUUAGCAGUUUCAUUGGAUUUCGGUCUGAUCAAACGUUGUUUUGACUGCUUGGCAUCGUUGUCUUGAUGCAGUAAGUAGAUUCUUUGGUAUAUUUAGUGUUUAAAGAAAUUAUUGAUAAAUUCUAAAAGAGAAUAGAAUUUCAGGCAAAGCGGAAUCUGAUUACGGCUAGAAUUAUUAGCAUAAGAAAAGCUUGAUCGGUUUUUUUUUUUCGAUUGGUUUAGUCAAUCCUGGACAGAUGGAAUAAGACAUUGCUUUCGAUCUUCAUCGUGUUAAUGCAUAGCCAAAAGUCACAAAUCUUGACUGGCUUUGUGAAGUAAAUUCAAAGGAGACAUACAAGGUGUUUCAUUUACACAUUAGAAAUAGGCUAAUAUCCCAGGCUUCUUCUUUGGUAUAACCACUGGAUUUAUUUUUUCUUUUAUCUCGCUUCUGCCUAGCUUGGGUGCUGAAUUCAUCAGCAAUGAUUUGCUCCAUUCCCCAAAUAUCUCUGCAGUGUAAGAAUGAUGGCGAGACAACGAGUUAGGAUUCCGCCUUGAUUUUUCAAAAUCGUUAGUUUCUUGUCUGUCUCCUUUCUGCUUAUCAAGAUCGAAAAGCUUGAAAUUUUGACCAAGUGGUAAGUCAAUAAUGUGCCUGGUUCAAGUGAUGAUUCUGUCUACAUACUAAACAAGCGCAUACUAGCCACAGACAAAUAAAAGCAUAUAUCAGCCAUAGGGUCCCUUAGCUCAUAUUCUAUUGUCCUCCAUUGUAUUUCUUUUCAUCAUCCCUGUCCCAAUAACGAAACUACCACAAGUCAUCACUUUCUUUUGCCAUCCCCCCGUACCGUCCAGAAGUUAAUUUAUUGUGCCUGGGACCCCAUCUUUAUGCUUAUCACUUAUAAAGCUGAAUUUGAAUUUUUAACUCAAAAUCUGAUGUGUCUUGUGUGAUAAUGGUUGCAGCAACGUAUUCAUUUUGGAUUAGAAUUCUCAUGUGUAAUACUCCAUACUAGAUUGCAGGAUAUAUUAUAGUCCUAGCUGAGAAUAUACUUUGGACAGUGUAGAUAUAGUUCCUCAAGACAUUUUUGUGGCGGAAGCGCGAGUAAAUAAGAUUACUGCAGAAAACAUUCUGGUUUGUCUAUGAAUAAUUUUUAUACACUACUUAUUUUCUGCUUGAUGUACAACUUGCAGAACCACACACAGAAGAGACAAGUAUAAAUGCUAGAUAGAAGUUACCGUGAUCUAAUGGUAAUAAGGGAAAAGGCAAAUAAAGCAGAUGAAUUGAAACUACCUCAUGCUCGAAUUUUAUUGCCGGACAGGAGUUAAAGAGAUCCUGUUUUUCUCUUGUAUGUAUGCUAACUAAACUAGGCUUUCUUUGAAAUAGUAUUGGUGUACCUAAAACAGAUGAAAUCGAAACAAAAAUUUGUCUUAGAAUCAUGAUAAAUUGCAUGUAAUCAUGUAUUUGACCUCUGAUACUAAAAUGAUAAUCUAGUUUGACAUGUAUUUAGCCCUUGGGUUGUUUCUAUUUGGACAUGAAAACCUUGUGACUGCUAGAGACUGGUAAGGAAAAUUAGUUUUGACAUCAAUAUUUGUGCAUAUUUCGUAAAUGUUCUAAAUCACGAAAUUCUGUUGCCCCUACCAAGUUAAAAAGACAAAAGAAGAUUCGGAGGACAGAACAAGGAGGCGACGAAAGGAUUGCCUUUAAGUUCCUUUCAUUGGGGCAUUGGACGGAAGGGUGUUGGGGAGAGGGGUUCUCAGAGUGGAGUUGCUGUUUGUGUUGUUCAUUUAACAUCAACUGCUUUAAAAGGAAACUUAUAUUUUACAUUCAUAGAGUAACAAAAUUUAAGCACCCCUAUCUUACAUUAGGCAAUAUGCUGAAAUCUGAGUCCCCUGAAGAGCUUCUUAUGAACUCUUCCCAUUGGUACAUAGUAAAAAACGCAGAACAGCAGACACUGACCCAUGACUAUGGUUCCCAUCAGAUGUUAACAUUGACUGGGAGAUCAAUGAGGAGAACCACAUCAAGUAGUUUGGACAGACAACCCCAUGCUAUACAAAUACAGGUUAGGCUUCCAUAUAGCAGCUAAAAUUGUAUCAACAAAUACCUAGGGAAUAAAUCAACAUCUAGCUAGCCAGUUAAAAUCGUGCUCUCUUGGUUGUAAAAAGAAUAAAAUUGAUCGCUUAUGGGAGGAAACAUCUUACUCUCGUCUUCAUCCAUCAUCCACAACGAGACAGGGCAAUAAUCCCGCACAGGAGAAGCCAUUGUUUGACUGGAGAAGUUGCAGCCUCCUUCGCCGUAACCGUCAUACACAGGUUGAAUAGCAUCACUGUCAGAAAACUCAAUAUCUUUCCAUAUUUCGUCCAUGGAAUACACCUUCUGCAACCUUUCUUCCUCUGCUUGACCAGUCUUGUUUCCCUUGGCAGUGAGCAUUUCAAGACCUCCAGUGUCAUAAAAGCUUCGCUCCUUUGUCUCAGUGAUUGGCCCAGAUUCCAUACUUGGGCUGUUACCGUUGGAUAUUGAGGAGGAACAGUUGGAGAAUGAUGGUGAGGAUGAUGAUGAUGAUGAUGAGGGAGAUAUGGCAGCCUUUUUCCUCUCUUGAGCCUUCUUCCUCAUAUGGGUUCUCCAGUAAUUCUUGAUCUCGUUAUCAGUCCUCCCAGGUAAUUUACGGGCAAUCCUUGACCAUCUGCGAAUGAUUUAUCCAUGUGUUACAUUGAAAUAACUGGGAUGACAACCCAAUAACAAAAAAUAGAAUCCAAAUAGAAGUAAGAUUAUGUCGUUAUGUUGUCAAAUAACAUUAAAUUAACCAAUAAUCGCCAACCUAUUUCCCCACUUGGAGUGAAGCUCAAGGACAAGGCGCUCUUCAUGAGGAGUCAUCUUGCCUCGUUUCAGACCAGGGUGCAGGUAAUUAACCCAACGUAACCUGCAACUUUUACCUGUUCUUUUCAAACCUACAACAAAGUACGUGGUUAAACUUUGCUCCUUGCAAUUACCAUGCCAUGCCCAAAAUAAGCAUACCUAUUUUAUUUGUCUCCCUCCACCCAAACCUGAAACCUUAGAGAUGAAAUCCCAUCGGCGAUCACCGUACACGUUCACACAUAAAACCAGUUGGACAUCUUCUUGUUCUGUCCAAGGGCCCUUUCUGAUUUCCUCUUGCACCAUUUCCAGAGUUCCGUUUCCUUUUCUGCCUUCACUUCUUUUGAUUAACUCCUUGAGUUGCUUGCCUGCUCACUGGUACAAGGAACUUGUGUGCACGCUAGUGAUAUUUAUACUGGCCACUUUUCCUUGUAGGCAAGCUACGUGAUUUAUUUUUAAUUCUGUGAUUCCAUCCUCACCGUCCGUGCUGUGGCUUGCGUAUGCUGAUUAGGUGAUCGCGUUGAUGGGAACGCAUUGCAUAUGAUGAAAGCCAUUAUCAACAAUUUCUAGAUAAGAAGUUGAUAUGCUGAUGUGACGUUCAUAACUUGCAGUCCACAUUUCUCAGUAGGAUUGCUCGGUUUCUGUACAACUUCCUGCAAAAUCUAUAUGUGCACUAUAAAUUCACCAAAAGUUGAACCAAAGAAUUGCACUUUUUCUUUCCUUUCUUGUUUUCUAAAGUGAAAUUUACAUAAACUUCGAGAUUGUCUUUGUUCUUUUG
rnacentral:lncRNA from 1 species